rnacentral:rRNA from 1 species
ACGAACGCUGGCGGCGUGCUUAACCCAUGCCAGUCGAACGGAAAGGCCCUGCUUUUGUGGGGUGCUCGAGUGGCGAACGGGUGAGUAACACGUGAGUAACCUGCCCUUGACUUUGGGAUAACUUCAGGAAACUGGGGCUAAUACCGGAUAGGAGCUCCUGCUGCAUGGUGGGGGUUGGAAAGUUUCGGCGGUUGGGGAUGGACUCGCGGCUUAUCAGCUUGUUGGUGGGGUAGUGGCUUACCAAGGCUUUGACGGGUAGCCGGCCUGAGAGGGUGACCGGCCACAUUGGGACUGAGAUACGGCCCAGACUCCUACGGGAGGCAACAGUGGGGAAUAUUGCACAAUGGGCGGAAGCCUGAUGCAGCAACGCCGCGUGCGGGAUGACGGCCUUCGGGUUGUAAACCGCUUUCGCCUGUGACGAAGCGUGAGUGACGGUAAUGGGUAAAGAAGCACCGGCUAACUACGUG